CAUCAAUCUUUAAAAGAUAAAUGAGAGACGUAUAAGACACAAUAUAUAAAUAUAAACAAAUUUUUACUCAUUUAAAUUGAAAAUUUACAGUGUCCGUAUACUAAAUGAAAUUAAACAUCUUUUUCUUUAAGAACAAGUGAAAUAAAAUGCCGUUUCUUUUCAAUAAAAUAUUGUUGAUGUUUUUGGCACCUAUUGCAGCAACAUUGUCGUUAUUGAAUAAAUAUAUAAAUUGUUAAAUUAAAAUGUUAAGCUUAAUGUAGCAUGAUACAUUUGUAUGUCUAUAAUGGGCAUUUUAAAAGCACAGGAAUAUGAAAAAGAAGAUGUGGUGUGGUAUGAUUUCCAAUUAGACAACAGUCCACAAGAGACCAAAAUGACAGAGACAUUAACAAAUAUAGGUCACCGUACGGCCUUCAACAAUGAGCAAUGCCAAAUCCGCAUGGUCAGCUAUAAAAGGCCCCGAUAUGACAAUGUAAAACAAUUCAAACAAGAAAACUAACCGCCUUAUUUAUAUAACAAAAAAAAAUGAACGAAAAAUAAAUAUGUAACACAUAAACAAACGACAACUACUGAAUUGCAGGCUCAUGACUUGGGACAGGCACAUACAUAAAUGAUGUGGCGGGGUUAAAAUUGUUAGCGGGCUCCCUAUCCUCUCCCUAGUCUCGGUCAGUAGUAUAAAAGUACAUGUACAACAUUAAAACGAACUAUAAGAAUCAGUUUAAAUAGGCUUAACUCAUCAGAUGGACAAAAACAUGGAGGGGUAGAAUGUAAUAUUUGUAACUGGUCGUUAAGCAACC
rnacentral:lncRNA from 1 species